GUGAGCUAUUAGCUCAAGGAGAUGGUCAUGGCAGUUUCAUUGUCGUUGCUUAUGGCUCUGAACAGCCCCCUAGGGACCGGGUACGAGUGCACAACCAGCCAGUCGCUGAUAUUCACUAUGUGGUCAGCGUUUCUGACAUCAUGCCCGGUUUCCAAUAAUUACCUCUUCCGCUGCCGAAUGCAGAAGUUGUUGUACAAUCAGUGACUGAUGCCCUUGGCAGUUAUGUUCUAUGGCCGCGUGCAUUGGUGCGGUUAUCAGAUCAGGGUUCGGGGAUGGCCGACAUGAAGGGAAAGAAGGUAGCUUCACCUCAGGAAGGCCGACGUGCCCAAGUGGAGAAAGUAAAUGUUUCUACGGCAAAGUCUCCACUCAUUAUGGAUAUCGAGGUGGUGGAAGGCCUUACUCAAUCGUGCUUUUGGCUACAUGAGUGCGCUAGCGAUGUAGACGACGAAGCAAUGAUUGAGAUUAAGUUGUUGCACCACCAAUUCCACUACUUUGAGGAUUCAUCGACCUUCAUUUCUAAGGUUGAUAUUAAAUAAUUCUUACUUGAAGAAGAGUUGAAUGUUUCCAUGAUACAAACAUUCAUGAGGCUAUUAUACAAUGAUUUGAGGCCAUCUAGUGAGCCAAUGUUUGGUUGGUUAUGUCCAAGCUUAGUACGAGAUGACAGUUGCGUACAAAACCAAAAGGAGGUGAAAGCAUAUCUCAAGGAUUCUUUGAAAGCAUGUUCUCGUCUUGGAUAUAAUGUUAUGUUCCCUAUUUUGAGUUUUGAAUGAUGACAAACCACAUUGAACUAUUAUAUUGCAUGCAUGUUUCUGUUUACAUGUGUAGGUGCCAAAGUACGAGUUCAAUGAAUAGAAAGAUGAAGCUA